CUCUACACGGGGCGCCAGCCCAGGCCUCAGGAAGCAGCAGAGUUUCAGGCAGAGUUUGUGCCUAUUGCUCAGCUGGCUGCCGAGUCAGACUUCAUUGUAGUGUCCUGCUCCUUAACACCGGCUACCAGGGGGCUCUGCAACAAGGACUUCUUCCAGAAGAUGAAGAACACUGCUGUCUUCAUCAACAUCAGCAGAGGAGAUGUGGUAAACCAGGAAGACCUGUACCAGGCAUUAGCCAGUGGUCAGAUUGCAGCAGCAGGACUGGAUGUGACCACCCCAGAACCACUGCCUCCAAGCCACCCCCUGCUGACCCUCAAGAACUGCGUGAUCCUGCCCCACAUCGGCAGUGCCACCUACAAAACUCGCAACACCAUGUCCUUGCUGGCGGCUAACAACUUGCUGGCUGGCCUAAGAGGGGAGCCAAUGCCCAGUGAACUCAAGCUGUAGCCAGAUGGGCUUUCAUGGACUGGAGACAUCUCGCUGGACAAACCCAAGCUGAAGUCUGGACUGAGGCCAGAGCUUGGGGCAUGCCCCCUCUGCUGUGUUCUCAGUGGACAUGGGAACGGACAGAUGGGCUUGCCAUAUACUUGCCAAAAGCCUGUAAUUCUAACAUUAAACAGUUUCUGACACGGUG
rnacentral:lncRNA from 1 species